UCUGGUGGUUACUGCGAGAAGGUCACACCCGUUCCCAUCCCGAACACGGAAGUUAAGUUUCUCAGCGUCGAUGGUAGUAGGGGCUUCCCCCUGUGAGAGUAGAUCGUUGCCAGGC
rnacentral:rRNA from 2 species